rnacentral:rRNA from 1 species
UUGAACGCUGGCGGCAGGCCUAACACAUGCAAGUCGAGCGGUAACACAGAGAGCUUGCUCUCGGGUGACGAGCGGCGGACGGGUGAGUAAUGUCUGGGAAACUGCCUGAUGGAGGGGGAUAACUACUGGAAACGGUAGCUAAUACCGCAUAACGUCGCAAGACCAAAGUGGGGGACCUUCGGGCCUCAUGCCAUCAGAUGUGCCCAGAUGGGAUUAGCUAGUAGGUGGGGUAACGGCUCACCUAGGCGACGAUCCCUAGCUGGUCUGAGAGGAUGACCAGCCACACUGGAACUGAGACACGGUCCAGACUCCUACGGGAGGCAGCAGUGGGGAAUAUUGCACAAUGGGCGCAAGCCUGAUGCAGCCAUGCCGCGUGUGUGAAGAAGGCCUUCGGGUUGUAAAGCACUUUCAGCGGGGAGGAAGGCGGUGAGGUUAAUAACCUCAUCGAUUGACGUUACCCGCAGAAGAAGCACCGGCUAACUCCGUGCCAGCAGCCGCGGUAAUACGGAGGGUGCAAGCGUUAAUCGGAAUUACUGGGCGUAAAGCGCACGCAGGCGGUCUGUCAAGUCGGAUGUGAAAUCCCCGGGCUCAACCUGGGAACUGCAUUCGAAACUGGCAGGCUAGAGUCUUGUAGAGGGGGGUAGAAUUCCAGGUGUAGCGGUGAAAUGCGUAGAGAUCUGGAGGAAUACCGGUGGCGAAGGCGGCCCCCUGGACAAAGACUGACGCUCAGGUGCGAAAGCGUGGGGAGCAAACAGGAUUAGAUACCCUGGUAGUCCACGCCGUAAACGAUGUCGAUUUGGAGGUUGUGCCCUUGAGGCGUGGCUUCCGGAGCUAACGCGUUAAAUCGACCGCCUGGAGAGUACGGCCGCAAGGUUAAAACUCAAAUGAAUUGACGGGGGCCCGCACAAGCGGUGGAGCAUGUGGUUUAAUUCGAUGCAACGCGAAGAACCUUACCUGGUCUUGACAUCCACAGAACUUUCCAGAGAUGGAUUGGUGCCUUCGGGAACUGUGAGACAGGUGCUGCAUGGCUGUCGUCAGCUCGUGUUGUGAAAUGUUGGGUUAAGUCCCGCAACGAGCGCAACCCUUAUCCUUUGUUGCCAGCGGUUAGGCCGGGAACUCAAAGGAGACUGCCAGUGAUAAACUGGAGGAAGGUGGGGAUGACGUCAAGUCAUCAUGGCCCUUACGACCAGGGCUACACACGUGCUACAAUGGCAUAUACAAAGAGAAGCGACCUCGCGAGAGCAAGCGGACCUCAUAAAGUAUGUCGUAGUCCGGAUUGGAGUCUGCAACUCGACUCCAUGAAGUCGGAAUCGCUAGUAAUCGUAGAUCAGAAUGCUACGGUGAAUACGUUCCCGGGCCUUGUACACACCGCCCGUCACACCAUGGGAGUGGGUUGCAAAAGAAGUAGGUAGCUUAACCUUCGGGAGGGCGCUUACCACUUUGUGAUUCAUGACUGGGGUG